rnacentral:rRNA from 1 species
ACAAGCGGUGGAGCAUGUGGUUUAAUUCGAUGAUACGCGAGGAACCUUACCUGGGCUCAAAUGUAUGUUGACGUAUUCUGAAAGGGAUACUUCUUCGGACAAUAUACAAGGUGCUGCAUGGUUGUCGUCAGCUCGUGCCGUGAGGUGUCGGGUUAAGUCCCAUAACGAGCGCAACCCCUAUCAUUAGUUGCCAUCAGGUCAAGCUGGGGACUCUAAUGAAACUGCCUACGCAAGUAGUGAGGAAGUGGGGAUGACGUCAAAUCAGCACGGCCCUUACGUCCAGGGCUACACACGUGCUACAAUGGCCGAUACAGAGGGCAGCUACCUGGUGACAGGAUGCAAAUCUCCAAAGUCGGUCUCAGUUCGGAUCGGAGUCUGCAACCCGACUCCGUGAAGUUGGAUUCGCUAGUAAUCGCGCAUCAGCCAUGGCGCGGUGAAUACGUUCCCGGGCCUU